rnacentral:rRNA from 1 species
CCCUUAGAUGUUCUGGGCCGCACGCGCGCUACACCGAUGCAUUCAACGAGCCUAUCCUUGACCGACAGGUCCGGGUAAUCUUUGAAUCUGCAUCGUGACGGGGAUAGACUAUUGCAAUUAUUAAUCUUCAACGAGGAAUGCCUAGUAGGCGCAAGUCAUCAGCUUGCGUCGAUUACGUCCCUGCCCUUUGUACACACCGCCCGUCGCUCCUACCGAUUGGGUGUGCUGGUGAAAUGUUCGGAUCGGCCGUUUGUCGCGGUUUCCGCGUCAUGUGGCUGAGAAGUUCAUUAAACCCUCCCACCUAGAGGAAGGAGAAGUCGUAACA